ACCCUCAAAACCACAUUACGAACUGUCAGGAAAAAAGAAAAAAAACAAGAUUAAUAUUGAAAGAACCAUCUAUAUCCUUCUCUUCGACAACAACACACACACACACACACACACACACACACACACACACACACACACGUUCAAGAGAAAUCGACCUAUAUUACGUCAUCACAAUUCAAGACAACGACUUUUGAGUGUGAUGAGUGAGAAUUAUGAUGAUGAUGAUGGUGGUGGUGGUGGUGGUGGUGGUGAUAAAGUGAAGUGUGGUGUGUGCGGUGGAAAUGAGGUUAAGGGUAAAUGUUGUUGUUAUUGUUGUUGCUAUUGCUGUUGUUGUUAUUGUUUUUGUUGUUGUUGCUGUUGUUGUUGUUGUUAUAGUUGUUCUUGUUGUUGUUGUUGUUGGUGGUGGUGGUGGUGGUGGUGAUGGUGGUAUAUGCAGUGACGUCUGGUCAGGAAAAAGGAGGAAAGGGGUUAAGUUAAGGAGAGAAGAGGCUAAGGAAGGAGCAAGGAGUGCAAGGUACAAGUAUAUCAGACACAAGGGUAGGAAGGAGAUAAGGACAGAACUUCGGAAAAAGAGGGAAGGAGAGAGAGGAGAGAGGAGGGGUCUGUGGUGUGUGCGGGGAGGGUUAAGCUGGCAACCCUCAUGUCCCUUCAUCUCUCCUGUCACACGUACCUGCAAGAGACUCAUAACUAUUCUGGGCCUGUUUCCGCGCGCAGCAGUUCGCGGCCGUGGCUCCGUUGCGCAAGGUUGGUGUUUUAAGAGGCACGUCAGCUGGUGUUGUUGCGAAAGUGUUAAGGUGUGGUGGGAUGAGACAGCGUCCGUGGCGCGCUGAGGGAAAGUUGCGUACACUGGUGCUGCUUGCCGCGGCUCCCAGUGGCUACAAAUACUCCCACAGGCACAAGCUCCGCCACGCUCCCCACGUCCACCGACACGCUUGCAACUGCUCACCCUUACACACACACACACACACACACACACACACACACACACACAAGCAAAGGCCCAAGCCAAACACACACAUACACAUACACACAUACACACACACACACACACACACACACACACACACAUGUGACAUCCGGCCGCCACGGGCUGGGAAUAUCUCCGGCAGUCACCAGCACACCCUGCCGCUCUGCUUAGCGCCCCUGCGUGUUGUCAGUGCCUGGCGUGAACCUGUACACACACUGUAGUGUGGCAGGAACAACCCGCGGAGAGCUUGUGGUGCUUGUGUCGUGAUCCGUGACGAGUGGUGUGCUGUGAUGAUCAACCCUGCGGCCUCGUGACGCCUCGUGUUGUCCUUCACCCGCUUCUCCCCGCUCGCCACCAUGGCCCAGCACCGCGCCCCCCGUCCCUGUCCUCUUCCUACCACGAAGACUACUCGCAUGACAGCCCACUCCGGGCAAGCAGUGGCUCCACCUACUCGUCCUUUUCGUCCCUGGACAGCGUGGGUCUGGGUCUGGGUCGUGUGCCGCACCGCAGCAGCAGCUCCACGCCCACAUGCACACAGCGUUAUGUCCGCAGGUGGACGCCCUCCUCCCGUCACACCACCCCGACAGGCUACCUGCGAAGCCGACAUCUGAGUGUGUCCGUGUCCUGGCCCUCCACGGACUCCCUGGCCUGGUCCAGCGGCAGCAGCAGGCUCGGUACGCCUCUGAGAUCACAAUCAUCCAGGAGGAGCCACUCCCCACGCCCAUUCGUCGAAUCUGAUGCCAUCGAGGCCCCGGGCGUGCAACAGGAGGCCUUCACCCGCGCCUUCCUCUAUCCGUCAUCCCUUCACCGCAAUCUUCGCCUGGCCGCGCUGCUGCUGGUGACCGCCCACGUUACCUUCAAGACUGUGGUGCCCUGGCUGCUCUAACCCGCUGCUCGACACCAUAUCCCUGGAGUGGACGCCACGCUCGCUCCUCAUAGACAUCCCGUAACUGAGGCUCGGGCUCCACACCGCGACGUGCCUCCACGGUACAGGCAACGAGCUUAUUCAGGAAGCGCCGUGAACAAUGCAACAAAGCGAGUCACGAGGCGCAGGCUCAUAAAUACUGCUUACUCUUUUCUCCUCGCCUGAACGUCUGAAUACAUCGACGAGUCAUCAAGGGUCGAGCCACGUACUAUUAGUGACUAUUAUGCUAAGAGCCACUUUUCAUUGCUGCCUGUACUGAGUGUUCCCUGCCCUCAGUCCGGGAAGAACACGAGUGGAGGGAGGCUGUGAAUGGCGUGAGAGCGACGAACACCCAGUGAAAGAAGUGACUGCUAGAAUUUAAACGGUAUUACUGAGUCACUUCUAGUCAGCACUCAGCACUUCCUUGCCGAGGUGUAGGGGAAGUGAAAGUCAAGAAACGCAGGGACGCAGGGUUCACGGAGUUCAGUAUACGAUGUGUGCCUGAAUGGGAAACGGAAGGACACACACACACACACACACACACACACACACACACACACACACACACACACACACACACACACACACACACACACACACACACACACACGAAGGUCCUACUUAAAGCCAAUAGUAUUAAGACGUAAAAAAAAAAAAAAAAAAUGCGUAAAAAAGUGAGGAAAAAACCGCUGGCGUGUCCCUCUCGCCACGAACCGGAACUGAUAGUGCGGGAGGAGUUACGAGCCAGGUCACGAGUUAUGAGGCGAGCCAUGGGCGGGCAUGAAGUAAAUAUAUCGACUGGUGGAUCUCUGGUGUUCAUCAUUCUGGUUGGCACAGCGCUACCUGUUGGCAUUGCUGGCACUGCCCCUCGUGGUGCCGCGGUGGUGCGUGGUGACACCCCCCCUCCUACACUCUCUGCCCCAUCUUCUUGCUGGUGCCAGUGAGGAAGGAGAACGAGGACAUCAUGAGGGAGCUACAGGCGGCCUCGGCGGGGAUACACAACAACAUCACCGCGACGCAAGUUCCAUCCACUCAGCCUGACUCCAGCCCUGACCUCGCCUCCACCGGCCUCCCUAACCCAUCUUCCAGCCCCCUCACCCCGCCUCCAGCCCCCAACCCGCCAAUAGUCCAGACCCCAGCCAUUCCUGAAGCCCCGCGCCGCCCGCUCCUCGGCGUCUUGAAACUCCCUGGCUUUUAUCUCGUGGUGGGCAGCGCCUCGAGAUGCCUCGGGGUUGCGGCGGGACGGCGGCCUCCUCCUGCCCACCCCAGGAGUGUUUCUCGUCACCCUUCCAGGACAUGACGGGGACACACUGCUCCUCCCGUUACUCCCUCACCUUCACCUAGAAGGGUCCGCGUCAAAACGGAACUUCAUGUCUUUUACGAGGGAAGGGAAAACCAUCACUGGUUUCCCUUUUUUUCACGGCUGACAGUGGGCGCCCUGACCCCCGCCCGCACCCCGACCUUUGCCCCGCGCCAUCCGCCCCUCGCCCGGUCCCUGCUCUCACCCCUGAGGACGCGAGGCUUGGCGGGGAUGGAUUGGUGUGCACAGGGCAUGAGGUCAGGUUGGUGGUGUGGGCUCCGUGUCCGUUCCUGCCUGUGUCCCGCGAGGCGUCCUGCGCGGCGCUCGCUGUGUUGCUGUGCUCACCCCCACCGGCGGCCCAGGCUGGUUCCCCGGCACUGCGGCUGAGGUGCGGCGACAGAUCUCGUCACGUCAGUGGAUGUCUAUAAUCAAACGUCGUUGUUUUUAUAUACAGGUGACAUGAGUGGCAGUUUAUAUCUAAGGCAAUAAUUACCUUAGACAACAGGUGUGGUCCAGGUAGUGAGUGGCCCGUGUUGUUGCUGUUGUUGAGUGUCCAUGUUACUGUUCGAAGAGUGUUUAACCAAUUUUUUUUUUCGAUUUGUAUAGGUAUGUACAUCAGAACACCUGGACUCCACACGCUUUACUGUUUACAUCUUGGAAGGUUUAUUUUCCACCAGACAGAGUUAUUUACAAAACCCUAUGUCGUCACUUCAUUGUAAAUAUUGAUGAAUCUACGUGGUAAUGUCUACACGCUAUCUAUGAGAGUACUACUUCAUCUUGCUGUCAGCUGUUCUUACGCCUCCUAGUAACGCCUGCUGUAUUGGAACCUUUCUCCGGUAGUGCUGUAUGUAGUGCUGGUCAGGCGGGGAGAUGUGAGGGAGAAUAUAGCGAAGGACAGACUGGGAUAUGAAAUAAGGGAAGAAAAAGUCAGGCAAGAUGGGAUGAAGGAACGAAAAGGAAAAAGAGGGAUAAGGCAGGAAAGAGAAACGGAGUAAAGUAAGGAAGGAUGGAAGGGGGAAAAGAGGGGACGGAGGGAGAGAAGGACGGGUGAGAUGUGAGGUGGAGCUUUCAGGUUUAAAGACAAAAGGGCUGAGGGCGCUUGCAAUAAAGGGUGCAUUUAACAAUUACUAAUAAUUGCACUAAUACCGCUAUCACCACAAACACUACUACUACUACUACUACUACUACCACUAUUACUACUGCUACUACUACUACUACUACUACUACUACUACUACUACUACUACUACUACUACUACUACUACUAUUACUACUACUGCUACUACUACUACUACAAAGGUUUUAGAUAGUGAAGCACCCAAACUUUGUAACCCCGCCAGAGAGAGAGAGAGAGAGAGAGAGAGAGAGAGAGAGAGAGAGAGAGAGAGAGAGAGAGAGAGAGAGAGAGAGAGAGAGAGAGAGAGAGAGAGAGAGAGAGAGCACAGACAUCGCUUAAUGCACCUAAAGGGAGAUUAUUCUGCGGUGCACGACCACUCGGAGGGCGGAGGAGGAGGAGGAGGAGGAGGAGGAGGAGGAGGAGGAGGAGAGCGCAGGGAGUGAAGAGAAGAGGCAGGGGUAAGGUGAAGAGGUUAAAAAAAGGGUACAGAGAGAAACAAAGGAAUUAUUGAAGAAGGCAAGAGGAGAAUUGGAGAGAGAGGGAGAGAGAGAGAGAGUAAAGGAGAAAUUUAGAGAACGAGGAUAGGACUGAAUGAGGAGAAAAAGGAGAGGGAAAGAACGGAUGAGGAGUGACGGGAACUGGAAAGAUAAGAGCAGGGGGUGGAGAGAGAGAGAGAGAGAGAGAGAGAGAGAGAGAGAGAGAGAGAGAGAGAGAGAGAGAGAGAGAGAGAGAGAGAGAGAGAGAGAGAGAGGAUAUGGGGAGAGGAAAUGGGAGAUAUCAUACUCCUAUAACCAAACGUGCCACGAACUUUUAAGCGUCAGAUGAGGAGAGGAGGAAGAGGAGGAGGAGGAGGAGGAGGAGGAGGAGGAGGAGGAGGAGGAGGAGGAGGAGGAGGAGGAGGAGGAUAAAGUUGAUGGGAUGAAUACAUAGUAGAUACGAAGAAAAGAAAAAGGAACAAUUAGCGAUGAUAAGAAAAAAAAAUAAAGGGGAAAGAAUAGGAGAAAGAAGCAAAAGAAUAGGAGAUGUAGGAGGAGGAGGAGGAGGAGGAGGAGGAGGAGGAGGAGGAGGAGGAGGAAGCUGGUGUUAUGAAAAGUGUUAGGCGAUGUGUUCCAGAGGCUUAGGUGUUCCUGUUGCUGUUGCUGUCACGAUGUCUAGCUGGAUACCAUAAUAAACAGUCUUCAAAUCCCUGGUUUCCUAUACGCUUACCUGUCUAGUCUGUCUAUCCAGUCUUCUAAGCGUUCCCACUGUCUAUCUUUAGCCUCCUAGCUAUUUCGUACUACUACUACUACUAAUACCGUUAUUUUUAUUAUUUAUUUUCCUUCAUCCAUUACGGUUAUUGCUUUGUGGCAUUGGAGACUCUUUUCUAUGUUCACGAUCGUCAUUUGUUUGUUCCGAUCCCCCUCAUCGUGUAUAUAACAAUAAUACGGAGGUGUAGAUGUUCGUUCGUUCGUUUAAUGGUGAUCAUACUUCAUACAUACAUCCAACUUUAAGUACCAUAAUAAUUAUCACAUUAUUAUUAUUACUACUACCAUCAUUAUUAUUACUACAUACAAAUAUCCUGCCUUAUUUAUUUAUCUAUUCACUUUAACUCUUCGUUGUCGCAUUCAAAAUAAAACCGAUAAUUUAC